GACGAACGCUGGCGGCGUGCUUAACACAUGCAAGUCGAACGGAAAGGCCCUUCGGGGUACUCGAGUGGCGAACGGGUGAGUAACACGUGGGUGAUCUGCCCUGCACUUUGGGAUAAGCCUGGGAAACUGGGUCUAAUACCGAAUAGGACCGCGCGCUUCAUGGUGUGUGGUGGAAAGCUUUUGCGGUGUGGGAUGGGCCCGCGGCCUAUCAGCUUGUUGGUGGGGUAAUGGCCUACCAAGGCGACGACGGGUAGCCGGCCUGAGAGGGUGACCGGCCACACUGGGACUGAGAUACGGCCCAGACUCCUACGGGAGGCAGCAGUGGGGAAUAUUGCACAAUGGGCGCAAGCCUGAUGCAGCGACGCCGCGUGAGGGAUGACGGCCUUCGGGUUGUAAACCCCUUUCACCAGGGACGAAGCGCAAGUGACGGUACCUGGAGAAGAAGCACCGGCCAACUACGUG
rnacentral:rRNA from 1 species